AGUGAACGCUGGCGGUAGGCCUAACACAUGCAAGUCGAACGGCGGCACAGUAUUAUCUUGCUCUUACGGGUGGCGAGUGGCGGACGGGUGAGGAAUACAUUUGAAUCUACUUUUUCGUGGGGGACAACGUAGGGAAACUUACGCUAAUACCGCAUACGACGUACGGGUGAAAGCAGGGCAGCUUCUGACCUUGCGCGAUUGAAUGAGCCGAUGUCGGAUGAGCUAGUUGGCGGGGGAAAGGCCCACCAAGGCGACUAUCCGUAGCUGGUCUGAGAGGUUGAUCAGGCACUGUGGAACUGAGACACGGUCCAGGCCUCUACGGGAGGCACCAGUGGGGAAUGUUGGAGAAUGGGCGCAAGCCUGCUCCAGCCCUACCGCGUGGGUGAAGAGGGCCUUCGGGUUGUAGAGCCACUUUGUGGGGAAAGAAAAGCGGCAGCAGAAUCCCGCGCGGUUGUGCCGGUACCCAACGAAUAAGCACCGGCUAACUUCGUG
rnacentral:rRNA from 1 species